GAUGCACGAACUCUCCAACGACA
rnacentral:siRNA from 1 species